AGCAGCGCACCAUUGGUAGUUACUUUAGGAGUGCCAAGUUCUUUUGAGCUGCCAAGAAAGAAUGACUGCAGGUGGGUGGGUAGAAGAAAGAAGCAAAGGCAACAACACAAGUCUUUUUCCAAGGAGUGGUGGGAAAUAAGCAAUGGAAAAGCUGUCCUCAGAGAUGUGGUGAGGGUGGGGAGGAACAAAGCAGGCAUGGGGAUGGAGAACCCUAUCCUGCUACACACCAUGGAUGCCCAUAGACUGGGACCUGGAGCAGUGGUUCUGAGACUCACGAGGAGGUGAGUGAGG
rnacentral:lncRNA from 1 species